UACAGAGGUCUCAAGCGUUGUUCGGAAUCACUGGGCGUAAAGGGUGCGUAGGUGGCAUGGUAAGUCAGAUGUGAAAGCCCAGGGCUCAACCUUGGAAUUGCAUCCGAUACUGCUGUGCUAGAGUACUGGAGGGGUGACUAGAAUUCUCGGUGUAGCAGUGAAAUGCGUAGAUAUCGAGAGGAAUACCAAAGGCGUAGGCAGGUCACUGGACAGUUACUGACACUGAGGCACGAAGGCCAGGGGAGCGAACGGGAUUAGAUACCCCGGUAGUCCUGGCAGUAAACGGUGCAUACUUGGUGUGGGAAGAUUCGACCCUUCCUGUGCCGGAGCUAACGCGUUAAGUAUGCCGCCUGGGAAGUACGGUCGCAAGAUUAAA
rnacentral:rRNA from 1 species